rnacentral:rRNA from 1 species
CAUGCAAGUCGAGCGGAAACGAUCCUAGCUUGCUAGGAGGCGUCGAGCGGCGGACGGGUGAGUAAUGCAUAGGAAUCUACCCAGUCGUGGGGGAUAACCUGAGGAAACUCAGGCUAAUACCGCAUACGUCCUACGGGAGAAAGCGGGGGCUCUUCGGACCUCGCGCGAUUGGAUGAGCCUAUGUCGGAUUAGCUUGUUGGUAAGGUAACGGCUUACCAAGGCGACGAUCCGUAGCUGGUCUGAGAGGUGAUCAGCCACACCGGGACUGAGACACGGCCCGGACUCCUACGGGAGGCAGCAGUGGGGAAUAUUGGACAAUGGGCGAAAGCCUGAUCCAGCCAUGCCGCGUGUGUGAAGAAGGCUUUCGGGUUGUAAAGCACUUUCAGCGAGGAAGAAAGCGUGCCGGCCAAUACCCGGUACGGACGACAUCACUCGCAGAAGAAGCACCGGCUAACUCCGUGCCAGCAGCCGCGGUAAUACGGAGGGUGCAAGCGUUAAUCGGAAUUACUGGGCGUAAAGCGCGCGUAGGCGGCGUGUCACGCCGGGUGUGAAAGCCCCGGGCUCAACCUGGGAACGGCAUCCGGAACGGGCAGGCUAGAGUGCAGGAGAGGAAGGUAGAAUUCCCGGUGUAGCGGUGAAAUGCGUAGAGAUCGGGAGGAAUACCAGUGGCGAAGGCGGCCUUCUGGACUGACACUGACGCUGAGGUGCGAAAGCGUGGGUAGCAAACAGGAUUAGAUACCCUGGUAGUCCACGCCGUAAACGAUGUCGACUAGCCGUUGGGUCCCUUGAGGACUUAGUGGCGCAGUUAACGCGAUAAGUCGACCGCCUGGGGAGUACGGCCGCAAGGUUAAAACUCAAAUGAAUUGACGGGGGCCCGCACAAGCGGUGGAGCAUGUGGUUUAAUUCGAUGCAACGCGAAGAACCUUACCUACCCUUGACAUCCUGCGAACCCGGAAGAGAUUCCGGGGUGCCUUCGGGAGCGCAGAGACAGGUGCUGCAUGGCUGUCGUCAGCUCGUGUUGUGAAAUGUUGGGUUAAGUCCCGUAACGAGCGCAACCCUUGUCCCUAUUUGCCAGCGAUUCGGUCGGGAACUCUAGGGAGACUGCCGGUGACAAACCGGAGGAAGGUGGGGACGACGUCAAGUCAUCAUGGCCCUUACGGGUAGGGCUACACACGUGCUACAAUGGCCGGUACAAAGGGUUGCGAAAGCGCGAGCUGAAGCUAAUCCCGAAAAGCCGGUCUCAGUCCGGAUCGGAGUCUGCAACUCGACUCCGCGAAGUCGGAAUCGCUAGUAAUCGUGCAUCAGAAUGGCACGGUGAAUACGUUCCCGGGCCUUGUACACACCGCCCGUCACACCAUGGAAGUGGACUGCACCAGAAGUGGUUAGCUUAACCCUCGGGAGAGCG